GCUAGCUACAGGCUUAACACAUGCAAGUCGAGGGGCAUCAGGAAGAAAGCUUGCUUUCUUUGCUGGCGACCGGCGCACGGGUGAGUAACACGUAUCCAACCUGCCCUUUACUCGGGGAUAGCCUUUCGAAAGAAAGAUUAAUACCCGAUGGCAUAAUGAUUCCGCAUGGUUUCAUUAUUAAAGGAUUCCGGUAAAGGAUGGGGAUGCGUUCCAUUAGGUUGUUGGUGAGGUAACGGCUCACCAAGCCUUCGAUGGAUAGGGGUUCUGAGAGGAAGGUCCCCCACAUUGGAACUGAGACACGGUCCAAACUCCUACGGGAGGCAGCAGUGAGGAAUAUUGGUCAAUGGGCGCUAGCCUGAACCAGCCAAGUAGCGUGAAGGAUGAAGGCUCUAUGGGUCGUAAACUUCUUUUAUAUAAGAAUAAAGUGCAGUAUGUAUACUGUUUUGUAUGUAUUAUAUGAAUAAGGAUCGGCUAACUCCGUGCCAGCAGCCGCGGUAAUACGGAGGAUCCGAGCGUUAUCCGGAUUUAUUGGGUUUAAAGGGAGCGUAGGUGGACUGGUAAGUCAGUUGUGAAAGUUUGCGGCUCAACCGUAAAAUUGCAGUUGAUACUGUCAGUCUUGAGUACAGUAGAGGUGGGCGGAAUUCGUGGUGUAGCGGUGAAAUGCUUAGAUAUCACGAAGAACUCCGAUUGCGAAGGCAGCUCACUGGACUGCAACUGACACUGAUGCUCGAAAGUGUGGGUAUCAAACAGGAUUAGAUACCCUGGUAGUCCACACAGUAAACGAUGAAUACUCGCUGUUUGCGAUAUACAGUAAGCGGCCAAGCGAAAGCAUUAAGUAUUCCACCUGGGGAGUACGCCGGCAACGGUGAAACUCAAAGGAAUUGACGGGGGCCCGCACAAGCGGAGGAACAUGUGGUUUAAUUCGAUGAUACGCGAGGAACCUUACCCGGGCUUAAAUUGCAGUGGAAUGAUGUGGAAACAUGUCAGUGAGCAAUCACCGCUGUGAAGGUGCUGCAUGGUUGUCGUCAGCUCGUGCCGUGAGGUGUCGGCUUAAGUGCCAUAACGAGCGCAACCCUUAUCUUUAGUUACUAACAGGUUAUGCUGAGGACUCUAGAGAGACUGCCGUCGUAAGAUGUGAGGAAGGUGGGGAUGACGUCAAGUCAGCACGGCCCUUACGUCCGGGGCUACACACGUGUUACAAUGGGGGGUACAGAAGGCAGCUAGCGGGUGACCGUAUGCUAAUCCCAAAAGCCUCUCUCAGUUCGGAUCGAAGUCUGCAACCCGACUUCGUGAAGCUGGAUUCGCUAGUAAUCGCGCAUCAGCCACGGCGCGGUGAAUACGUUCCCGGGCCUUGUACACACCGCCCGUCAAGCCAUGGGAGCCGGGGGUACCUGAAGUACGUAACCGCAAGGAUCGUCCUAGGGUAAAACUGG
rnacentral:rRNA from 1 species